rnacentral:rRNA from 1 species
UACGUAGGGUGCGAGCGUUAAUCGGAAUUACUGGGCGUAAAGCGUGCGCAGGCGGUUUUGUAAGACAGGUGUGAAAUCCCCGGGCUUAACCUGGGAACUGCGCUUGUGACUGCAAGACUCGAGUACGGCAGAGGGGGGUGGAAUUCCACGUGUAGCAGUGAAAUGCGUAGAGAUGUGGAGGAACACCGAUGGCGAAGGCAGCCCCCUGGGUCGAUACUGACGCUAAGGCGCGAAAGCGUGGGGAGCGAACAGG